CAUGAACUCCAAACCCAUCUCAACUCAAAUUACAAAAUAUUUGCUAGUAAUAUUCGUCUCCCGUUGGGUUAUCCUUUGAUUCAUGUUCUCAUCUAUGGUCUGUUACUUCUGGGUUUAUGGUUCUACUUGGUAAUACGAGUAGCAGUCAACCCAUGUGAAGACCUAUGUCUAUUAGUAGGCAGAGAUUUGCAAAACUUAAAAAGGCUGGCUGAAGAUGCAAUCCAAAGGCUAUUUGGCAGGCAGGAGUGAGUCACCAAAUCAUUUGUCUAGUUAAGUUUAUCAUUUUAGUAAAUGUGAUGUAUCUUUACAAUUUUAGAUAUCUCAAUAACAUGUAUAAUUUUAGCAAUAAUUUUAAAGGUUUAAAUGUGAUAGUUUAGACCAUAUUAAUGUAUCUAAGUUGUAUAAUUAAUUUUUGAGUUGUAGAAUUUUGUUCAUUGAAAUUUUGAAAUUUAUUUAUGUGUUUCAUGAUUGAACAUGUUAGAAUAUUUUUUUAUUGCCUUGUUAAAUCGCCCACUCCCAUUUGUAAUUUUUGAUGCAAAGAGAGGUUUUGAUUUGUGUUAUUUGUAGAGGAAGAGAUAGGGAGAGGGAGAGAAUUGUUUUUUAUUAAUUUUUUUAACAGCAUUAAGUUCAAUUUUGAAAUAUUUUAUUACAGUAUCUGAGAUGUAGAAAUAAUACAAAUACUCAUCUGUCUCAUCACAGCAAAAUACCCAUCUCCUUCCUAGUGUGUGUUUGAGAUCAGCAUUGGCUAUUGAUUCCAUACUCAAAGCUUGUAAAUCAAAUUGUGUUGAUCUUAGUUCCAAGUUUCAGAUGGUUUCUUCUAGGCUUAGGACCUCACAUUUAAAUGGUACUUGGAACUCAUAUCAAGAUCUUUACCAUUUGCUACUCCAAGCAUUUGAUGAGUUGAAGAGGCUUUCAAGAAAUUUAUUUCAAGCACUAAGGAGGAUGCCAAUUGGAGGUGGGGAAAACAACAUAAUGCAGGAACCAAAUCAUCAAUUUUCGUCAUCUGUUAAAUAUUGUUUAGUCUUAGUUAUUGCUUAUUCAUUUAUGUUAUGUAAGUGACCUUGUUCAUAUUGCUUACUGCUACUCUGAACAAAUUGGUAAUUAAUUUCUUUGUAUUUCUUGCCCAGCACUGUCCAUGGAUUCAACAAAGUUAAGCUUCUUGUGGUAACUUAAAGCUAGCUUGUUAUCAGUUCAGCUAUCUGGGGAAAUGAAGAUGUUGGUGGUCACUCUAAUCAACUAUGCAAUAGCAAUGGCAAUUGAACAUGAACUCCAAACAUAUCCCAACUCAAAUUACAAAACAUGUGCUAGAAAUAUUCGUCUCCUAUUGGGUUAUAUGGCAAUUGUGCUACUUGCCUUGGUUCAUGUUCUCCUCUAUGUUGUGUUACUUAUGAGUUUGUGGGUCUACUUGCUUACACAAGUAGGACGCCACCCAUAUCAAGACUUAUAUCUAUUAGUAGGCGAAGAUUUGCAACACUUAAAGGAGUUAGCUGAAGAUGCAAUCCAAAGGCUAUUUGGCAGGCAGGAGUGAGCCACCGAAUCAAUUGUCUAGUUAAGUGUGUUAUUCUAGUAAACCUGAUUUGUCUUUACAAUUUUAGAUCUCUCUAUAAAAUGUUUGAUUUUAGCAAUCAUUUUAAUGAUUUAAAUGUGAUAGUUUAGUCCAUAUUAAUGUAUCUGAGUUGUAGAAAUAAUACAUAGUUGUAGAAUUUUGAAAGGGUCUUCUUUUGAAAUUUAUAUUUGUUUAUGUUAGAAUAUUUGUUUAUUGCAUUGUUAAAUCUCCCUCUCUCAUUUGUAAUUUAUGUGUUGUUUGUAGAGGAAGAGAUGGGGAGACGGAGAGAAUUUUUUAUUAAAAUUUUCUUUUAACAGGAUUAAGUCCAAUUUAAAAAAUUUUAUUACAGUGUUUGAGUUGUAGAAAUAAUACAAAUACUCAUCUCUCUCAUCAUAGCAAAAUACCCAUCUCAUUCCCAGGAUGCUUUUGAGAUUAGCAUUGGCUAUUGAAUCUAUACUCAAAGCUUGUAAAUCAAAUUGUGUUGAUCUUAGUUGCAAGCUUUAGAUGGCUUCUUUUAGGUUCAGGACCUUCAUAUUUAAAUGGGAAGCUUGGAACUCAUAUCAAGAUCUUUACCGUUUGCUACUCCAAGCAUUUGAUGAGUUGAAGAGGCUUUCAAGAAAUGCUUUUCAAGCACUAAGGAGGAGGCCAAUUGGAGGUGGGGAAAACAACAUAAUGCAGGAACCAAAUCAUCAAUCUUCUUCAUCUGUCAAAUAUUGUUUAGUCUUAAUUAUUGCUUUUUCAUUUAUGUUACGCAAAUGACCUUGUUCAUAUUGCUUACUGCUACUCUGAACAAAUUGGUGAUUAAUUUCUUUGUAUUUAUUGCCCAGCA